AUCCAGGUGACGAGUCCCAACUAGGACGAAAUGUGCAUACUGGAU
rfam:Trichobilharzia regenti genome assembly, scaffold: TRE_scaffold0089108